ACUUCUUCGUGUUUUAAUUUAUGGACAGACUACUGCUAAAGGAUCUAUAUGUAAAAUGGCAUCUGCUUUAUUGACUAAAAGUGUUGAAACACAUUAUUCCGGCACUGGAAAAAUUAUAAAAGGAACUGGAAAACUCAACUUCAGUAGUACAGAAAGUUUUAAAUGCAUGAUAGUAAUGGACCAAUAUUUGUUGGAAUAAUCGGUGGAUAAUUAAAAACUAUUAAUGGGCCGAUAAUUUAAAUAGUACGUGGCCCAUUACUGGGGCCGUUAAUCGGCCGAUGAUCAACUGCCAUUAAUGGGCCGGGGUUAUCAUUUGUAUAUUCAGCCGACGAUGAGCCAUUAAAAGAUGCCAAUGUCCGGCCGUUAAUUAUCAUCCUUCGCCCGGCGAUGGGCCAUCCGAGAGCCGGUUUUCAAACUUUGUAUGGGAUACUCCGUUUUCGAACUCAUAAACCAUUACUUUCUGUUAUAUUAAAAGUUCUUAAGUGAUAAGUUGUAAAUUGAGACCUGUUCACCCCAUAGAGCCUUUAAAAUUGAAUAUAUAUGUGAAAAUCCGAA